AAAGUCUUCGGACUUUUUCUAGCGGCGGACGGGUGAGUAACACGUGGGCAACCUGCCUGGUAGAGGGGGAUAGCCUUCCGAAAGGAAGAUUAAUACCGCAUAACAUGGUUUCAGGGCAUCCUGAAAUCAUCAAAGGAGCAAUCCGCUAUCAGAUGGGCCCGCGUCCCAUUAGCUAGUUGGUGAGGUAACGGCUCACCAAGGCGACGAUGGGUAGCCGACCUGAGAGGGUGAUCGGCCACAUUGGGACUGAGACACGGCCCAGACUCCUACGGGAGGCAGCAGUGGGGAAUAUUGCACAAUGGGGGAAACCCUGAUGCAGCAACGCCGCGUGAGUGAUGAAGGCCUUCGGGUUGUAAAAUCCUUUUUGGGGGGAAGAGGCAGGACGGUACCCCCGGAAUAAGCGUCGGCUAACUACGUGCCAGCAGCCGCGGUAAUACGUAGGACGCGAGCGUUAUCCGGAUUUACUGGGCGUAAAGCGUCUGUAGGCGGAUGAGCAAGUUGGAUGUGAAAGCUCCGGGCUUAACCCGGAGAGGCCAUUCAAUACUGCUGAACUAGAGGGCGUGGAGAGGGGAGCGGAAUUCCCGGGUGUAGCGGUAAAAUGCGCAGAUAUCGGGGAGGAACACCAGUGGCGAAAGGGGCUUCCUGGCCCAUUUUUGACGCUCAGACGCGAAAGCUAGGGUAGCAAACGGGAUUAGAGACCCCGGUAGUCCUAGCCGUAAACGAUGUGAACUUGGCGUUGGCGGGGUUUAAAUCCGUCAGUGCCGUAGCUAACGCGAUAAGUUCACCGCCUGGGGACUACGG
rnacentral:rRNA from 1 species